AAUAGAUGACGCCAUUAACUUUUUCUUACAUGUUUGACCAUUCGUCUUAUUCAAAAAAAUUACGUAAUUAUAAUUUAUUUUGUUAUGAGUUGUUUUAUCACUCAUAUUACUUUAAAUUUGAUUUAUAUCUUAUAUAUUUGCAUAAAAUUUUUGAAUAAGACGAAUAGUCAAACAUGUGAGAAAAAAUCAACGGCGUCAUCUAUU
rnacentral:pre_miRNA from 1 species